UUCGACGACCUCGUUUCACCGCCUUCUUCACGACACCCACCGGAAACCACCACCGUACGCUUCUCUUAUUUAUUUAUUUAAUUAUUUAUGAAUUUAUUUAUGUAUUUAUAUGUUAAUUAAAUAGAUUUACUUGUUAUAUCUAGUUAAUUAAUUUAUAAUUGGCUUUGUUUAUAAAUAAAUUAUAUGAAGCAUGAUUAAUUUUAAACUAUAUUAAGCAUGAUUAAUUUUUAAUCAAUUAGUUUAAGUUGUUUGUUAGAAUAAUUUAUAUAUGUUGGAUAAUUUUGUUAAAUUAAAUGUUAUGUGCUAUGUGUUUAUGAAAUGUUAUGUUAUUAUAUAUACUAGUAUGUCUACCCGUGCUAUGCACGGCGAGCAUCAAAAUUAAAAGAUAUGUUAAAUAAAUAUAUUAAAUAAAAUUAAAAUAUAAACAAAUAAAAUUAUUUAAAAAAAUAAUAAUCCACGUCAAUAACGCAAUAAAGGACCUAAAAUCCAAAAACACGUAAAUUUUCAAUUUGGUAUAAAAUAUAAUCAUAAUUAUAGUAAUUAAUACAAAUUUUAUACUAUAUAAUAUUAAGAUAAAUAUAAAGUUAAAUUAUAUUUAACUGUAAAAAAUAAUUAUUUAGAUAUAUUUUUUUUUAACCGAUCACUACAACAAAAAUGGCCUAUAACAACAUCCCUUUUAAGACACCAUAGCAUUUGUGUUGUAUUAUAUCUCAAUUGCGACAUUGUUUUAUUAAAAAGUAGUUGAUGCAUGUUUAUUUAGAGCUAUUGUGGCAUCAAAACAUAGAUGCCUCAAUAUUAGGUCAGUGGUGACAUAUUUUGCCGUCGUUAGAAUCCUGCGUAGUUUUGUUAUUAAUUAGAGGUGAAAGGAAAAAAAAAUAUAAAAAAAACGAGGGAAAUAUUUACUACCAAACUUGAGCGCCAAAUUUACGACUGUGCUUCAAAUAAAUUUACCGCUCAAUUAAUUGAUCUUUUCACUUACAAAAUUAAUGUACUAAUUAAAAAUUAUAGUUGAUCACGUUUCCCUAGAAAAUUUUCCCUAAACCUCACCAACCAUUUCUUCUGCCUAAAAACCGUCGGCGCUGCCCCUUGCUCAGUUCUCUCUAACCUUUCUUUUUCACAUUAAAUCAUUAAUUCUCCUUAGUCUCUUUCGCUCUCUCUCUCUCUCACACACACACACACACACACUCAGACACACACGUCACAAAUUCAGUUCGCCGGAGAGAUGGCAGCUGCCGCCGCGGAGGUGGCCGACAACGGCAAUGCAGGGGCAGAGAAAUCUGCUCUGAUAUUUCUCGGUACCGGUUGUUCGAGUGCGGUUCCUAAUGCGUAGUGCUUGAUCUAGCCUUCUGAUCGUCCCUGUCGCGUCUGCUCCCAACUCUAAUCCUACCGCCUGACCAAAACCCUAACUACAGGUUUUUGAUUGAUUGUUAUAGCGGUUUCACUACUUAAUAGCUUUUUGGAGCAAUGGUGGAGUCAAUUGGUUUUAAUUCACUCAUUGUUUGCAAUUUCUAGAAUGAUCACUUUUGGAGUUCCUAUUUAUGGCAGAUGACUUAGAUUCCUCUAUUUUGAGAUGCCUCUGUUCUUACUUGGAUUCAGGUAGCAAUUUCAAUGCAUAAUAUACAAUUUAUAUUGUUAAGCAAUGUGACGCAUGUUCUUUCUUGGAAUUAUAACAGAUGAAUGGCAUUGUUCAUUUGAGUAAUUGGUGGCGAUGAUUUGUAGGUGCAAUACAUCUCUCUUAAUUGAUUACUUUGGCAGAAAGGGCAAACAUAAAUAUAUUUUGAUAGAUGUUGGAAGACUUUCAGGGAGCAAGUACUUCGAUGGUUCACUUGUCAUAAAAUCCCUCAAAGUAGAUUCAGUGAGUUUUACAUCUUUUCUAUCUAAAGAUUCUCUCCAUAUUUUACAUUUCCGGCACAAUCAUUUAUCAUAUUGGAAUUGGAAUUUUGAGUUAGUGAGUGACUUGGUGUUGCAUUUAACCAAUAAGGCAAUGAUUAUAGUUCUUCCUUCAUGCUAUGGAAUUUAGAGUUACAGAGUGACUGGGUAAUGAUGAAGUUGGCAAAACAAGAGAACUAGGUAGGAUGAUUUGGAGUUAUUUCCUUCUUCCUGUUCACCUUAUUCAGGUUAAUUAUACCUUCAAGUUUCACCACUUGGUCUCUUUUGUUUUUUAAGUAGGAUCUCACCAUAUCUUAUGUUGGUUUCAGUUCUCUUUUCUUUCCACAAAAUUUAGUAGACAUUAAGAUAAACUGAACAGAGAAGUUAUUCCCAUUUAGUGUUGUUACAUGUAAACGAACUUUUCAUAUUUUACACCUCUUUAACCUUAACCUUCACUCUCACACAUUUCCUAGCCAGACGUCAUUGCUCACACCUCAUCUUGUCUCUUCUCUCCUUGCUUCAUUGUAAAGGUAAAUAUUUAAACCUGAUUUCAUAUUGACAUAUCAAUUCUCACCAAUUUUUUCUAAAUUUGAUUUUAAUUGUUGCAGAUGGUGUCAUAUUGACUGGAUUGUUUUUGAGUUGGGUACUGCUUUUCUUUUCUUCAGACUGUUGGUAAGAUAACCAAAAUUGGGAUUUCUAUAAAUGUUACUAAGCAUGAAUUUCUAAUAAUUUGGUAUAAUUAUACUCCCAUUUUUUUUUCUUGUGCAGGUUAGGUUUUAGAGGCAACUGAAAUAGGCCAUCUUAUAAUGCAAACCGUAACACAAAGAAAUUUGAGAGUUGUUUCCUUGGAGCUGGAAUGAAUGAGUGGACUAUAUUCAAAUAACAAUAUAUAGAUGUAUUUGUAAGUUGCCUAUUAACUUUUAUCUAAUUUUUCUUGUGUAUUUUGCAUAUUGUUUUGUAUUACUUUCGAAUGGUGGCUCUAUGAUUGAUUUAACUUGAUGAUUACUAGCAAUAUUGCUUGAAGAUGAAUUAAAUUCCUUCGACAAAAUGGUUGCUCGACCUUGUCAUUUGGUAUGUACUGUAGUUUGCGUUAUUAGUUAUGUAUUAGAAUCAAUUUUUUUGAAAUCUUAAGUGACUCGAAAAUAUAUUUCAGGUGACAUUUGGAGGCGUCAGCGAAAUAUCAGAUACUUGAACUCAAGAUAUCCCUCAAGGAAAAUGUCAAUAUCAAAUACUUGGACUCAAGAUAUUAGCACUACUUUUCCACAAGAAGAAUUUGGAGAAUGCAACUAAGCUACAUGUUUAUACCUUGGAAACAAUAAAUUUUACUCUCACCAACAGCCUUAGUCUAAUUUUCUUUUACAAAUAUUUGGUAGGAUUUAGAGCUAUAUUUUGUUAGCAAUAUGAAAAUAUUGUUUCAAACUUUCUUGUUUAUUGGUCAUUGUAAUGAAUAUAGAAUUCAUAGUUGAAAUGAAUAAAGUAUUAGAGUUAUUAUUAAA
rnacentral:lncRNA from 1 species